rfam:Loxodonta africana unplaced genomic scaffold scaffold_73, whole genome shotgun sequence.
GCAGUGGUGAUUCGGUGGUAGAGUUCUCGCCUCCCAUGCAGGAGACCUGGGUUCGAUUCCCGGCCAAUGUA